GACGAACGCUGGCGGCGUGCCUAAUACAUGCAAGUCGAGCGCAGGAAGCUGACGGAACUCUUCGGAGAGAAGGCAGUGGAAUGAGCGGCGGACGGGUGAGUAACACGUAAGGAACCUGCCUCAAGGAUUGGGAUAACUCCGAGAAAUCGGAGCUAAUACCGGAUAGUUCAACGGACCGCAUGGUCCGCUGAUGAAAGGCGCUUCGGCGUCACCUUGAGAUGGCCUUGCGGUGCAUUAGCUAGUUGGUAGGGUAACGGCCCACCAAGGCGACGAUGCAAAGCGGACCUGAGAGGGUGAUCGGCCACACUGGGAAUGAGACACGGCCCAGACUCCUACGGGAGGCAGCAGUAGGGAAUCUUCCACAAUGGACGAAAGUCUGAUGGGGCAACGCCGCGUGAGUGAUGAAGGUUUUCGGAUCGUAAAACUCUGUUGUAAGGGAAGAACACGUACGAGAGGGAAUGCUCGUACCUUGACGGUACCUUACGAGAAAGCCACGGCUAACUACGUGCCAGCAGCCGCGGUAA
rnacentral:rRNA from 1 species